UGAUAAUUGUUCUCAGCUCCAUCACUUCUGUACUUAUUCUUUGUGGUACUACUAAUAGUUAUUCUAUGUAAUAUACAUCGCAUAAACCGGUGAAAGGGGAUUCCGUCGAAGAUAAGAAUGGACGGCCGCCGGAAUUGCAACGGUAGAGCCGUUAAAGAAGCGGAAAAUCAAAAUCCGACGGUGUGCAGGCGGUGCAAAGAGCUGUACACGGCGGUGUCCAAUUCCCCUAGCUCUUGCCGAUUUCACCCCUCAUUCUUCGUCUGCCGCCGCCACGACGAUCAAAAGAGGUACUACGAACUGGGACCCGAUGAUCCACCAUAUGCAGCCAAGUUUUACGAUUGUUGUGGAGCAGAAGACCCGGCCGCACCCGGCUGCAACACCAGUUUUCACAUAUCAUACGAUGAUGAAUAAGCACGGCCGGCAUCAGUGAAACAUGAAUCGAAGCAGGUGAGAAUGCAGAAAGAGCCUCGUGACUACAUAACUUUUCUAGUUGAAGCUGGCAUGAAGAAGAAUAAAUGAGAGAGAUAAACAUAAGUGGUACACCUCUUUUUAUCUGUUUCUGUCCCCACGUUUUCACCUACAUGUGUAUGCUUGCAUUCUUGAUUUAGUUAUAUAGGCUUGAAAUUUCAAUGUGACAUAUUGUGGUGCUUGCAUUAUUUAUUUUUCUUCUAGUUAUGUGACAACUCAUUUCUACCUGUUGGUUUGGAUUCUCAGAAACAUAACUUUUAGUUGUAAAAUAAAUAAUGAUAUAAUUUAGUCUUCUUCUCUUGUUUA